rnacentral:rRNA from 1 species
CCUACGGGAGGCAGCAGUGAGGAAUAUUGGUCAAUGGACGCAAGUCUGAACCAGCCAUGCCGCGUGCAGGAAGACGGCUCUAUGAGUUGUAAACUGCUUUUGUACGAGGGUAAACGCAGAUACGCGUAUCUGUCUGAAAGUAUCGUACGAAUAAGGAUCGGCUAACUCCGUGCCAGCAGCCGCGGUAAUACGGAGGAUUCAAGCGUUAUCCGGAUUUAUUGGGUUUAAAGGGUGCGUAGGCGGUCGGAUAAGGUAGAGGUGAAAUCCAGAGGCUCAACUUCGGAAUUGCCUUUGAUACUGUGCGGCUAGAGAGUAGGUGCGGUAGGCGGAAUGUAUGGUGUAGCGGUGAAAUGCUUAGAGAUCAUACAGAACACCGAUUGCGAAGGCAGCUUACCGGGCUACUUCUGACGUUGAGGCACGAAAGCGUGGGGAGCAAACAGGAUUAGAUACCCUGGUAGUC